UACAGAGGUCUCGAGCGUUGUUCGGAUUCAUUGGGCGUAAAGGGUGCGUAGGUGGCGCUGUAAGUCGGGUGUGAAAUCCUGGGGCUUAACCCCGGAACUGCAUUCGAUACUGCAGUGCUUGAGGACUGGAGAGGAGACUGGAAUUUACGGUGUAGCAGUGAAAUGCGUAGAUAUCGUAAGGAAGACCAGUGGCGAAGGCGGGUCUCUGGACAGUUCCUGACGCUGAGACACGAAGGCCAGGGGAGCAAACGGG
rnacentral:rRNA from 1 species